GUGCUCGCCUGGGCAGGACAUACACUAACGACUGGAGCAUGAAAGAGAAGUCUAGCAGGGCCUCUGCCCAAGGAUGACACGCAAAUUCAUGAGAGAAACAACAGUGAA
rnacentral:snRNA from 14 species